GCAGUGCUGGUUCAGUGGUAGGAUUCUUGUUUUCCAGGCAGAAGACCGGGGUUCAAAUCCCAGCCAAUGCG
rfam:Loxodonta africana unplaced genomic scaffold scaffold_7, whole genome shotgun sequence.